rnacentral:rRNA from 1 species
CUAACACAUGCAAGUCGAGCGGUAGCACAGAGAGCUUGCUCUCGGGUGACGAGCGGCGGACGGGUGAGUAAUGUCUGGGAAACUGCCUGAUGGAGGGGGAUAACUACUGGAAACGGUAGCUAAUACCGCAUAACGUCGCAAGACCAAAGUGGGGGACCUUCGGGCCUCAUGCCAUCAGAUGUGCCCAGAUGGGAUUAGCUGGUAGGUGGGGUAACGGCUCACCUAGGCGACGAUCCCUAGCUGGUCUGAGAGGAUGACCAGCCACACUGGAACUGAGACACGGUCCAGACUCCUACGGGAGGCAGCAGUGGGGAAUAUUGCACAAUGGGCGCAAGCCUGAUGCAGCCAUGCCGCGUGUGUGAAGAAGGCCUUCGGGUUGUAAAGCACUUUCAGCGGGGAGGAAGGCGGUGAGGUUAAUAACCUUGUCGAUUGACGUUACCCGCAGAAGAAGCACCGGCUAACUCCGUGCCAGCAGCCGCGGUAAUACGGAGGGUGCAAGCGUUAAUCGGAAUUACUGGGCGUAAAGCGCACGCAGGCGGUCUGUCAAGUCGGAUGUGAAAUCCCCGGGCUCAACCUGGGAACUGCAUUCGAAACUGGCAGGCUAGAGUCUUGUAGAGGGGGGUAGAAUUCCAGGUGUAGCGGUGAAAUGCGUAGAGAUCUGGAGGAAUACCGGUGGCGAAGGCGGCCCCCUGGACAAAGACUGACGCUCAGGUGCGAAAGCGUGGGGAGCAAACAGGAUUAGAUACCCUGGUAGUCCACGCUGUAAACGAUGUCGAUUUGGAGGUUGUGCCCUUGAGGCGUGGCUUCCGGAGCUAACGCGUUAAAUCGACCGCCUGGGGAGUACGGCCGCAAGGUUAAAACUCAAAUGAAUUGACGGGGGCCCGCACAAGCGGUGGAGCAUGUGGUUUAAUUCGAUGCAACGCGAAGAACCUUACCUGGUCUUGACAUCCACAGAACUUUCCAGAGAUGGAUUGGUGCCUUCGGGAACUGUGAGACAGGUGCUGCAUGGCUGUCGUCAGCUCGUGUUGUGAAAUGUUGGGUUAAGUCCCGCAACGAGCGCAACCCUUAUCCUUUGUUGCCAGCGGUUAGGCCGGGAACUCAAAGGAGACUGCCAGUGAUAAACUGGAGGAAGGUGGGGAUGACGUCAAGUCAUCAUGGCCCUUACGACCAGGGCUACACACGUGCUACAAUGGCAUAUACAAAGAGAAGCGACCUCGCGAGAGCAAGCGGACCUCAUAAAGUAUGUCGUAGUCCGGAUUGGAGUCUGCAACUCGACUCCAUGAAGUCGGAAUCGCUAGUAAUCGUAGAUCAGAAUGCUACGGUGAAUACGUUCCCGGGCCUUGUACACACCGCCCGUCACACCAUGGGAGUGGGUUGCAAAAGAAGUAGGUAGCUUAACCUUCGGGAGGGCGCUUACC